AUUGAACGCUGGCGGCAGGCCUAACACAUGCAAGUCGAGCGGCGGCGGAAAGUAGCUUGCUACUUUGCCGGCGAGCAGCGGACGGGUGAGUAAUGUCUGGGAAACUGCCUGAUGGAGGGGGAUAACUACUGGAAACGGUGGCUAAUACCGCAUAACGUCGCAAGACCAAAGUGGGGGACCUUCGGGCCUCACGCCAUCGGAUGUGCCCAGAUGGGAUUAGCUAGUAGGUGGGGUAAUGGCUCACCUAGGCGGCGAUCCCUAGCUGGUCUGAGAGGAUGACCAGCCACACUGGAACUGAGACACGGUCCAGACUCCUACGGGAGGCAGCAGUGGGGAAUAUUGCACAAUGGGCGCAAGCCUGAUGCAGCCAUGCCGCGUGUGUGAAGAAGGCCUUCGGGUUGUAAAGCACCUUCAGCGAGGAGGAAGGCAUCAUACUUAAUACGUGUGGUGAUUGACGUUACUCGCAGAAGAAGCACCGGCUAACUCCGUGCCAGCCGCCGCGGUAAAAC
rnacentral:rRNA from 1 species